rnacentral:rRNA from 1 species
GAUGAACGCUAGCUACAGGCUUAACACAUGCAAGUCGAGGGACCGGCGCACGGGUGAGUAACCCGUAUCCAACCUGCCCUUUACUCGGGGAUAGCCUUUCGCAAGAACGAUUAAUACCCGAUAUAAUGGAUGGGGAUGCGUUUCAUUAGGUGGUUGGUGAGGUACCGGCUCACCAAGCCUUCGAUGGAUAGGGGUUCGGAGUGGAAGGUCCACCACAUUGGAACUGCGACACGGACCAAACUCGUAGGGAGGGCAGCAGUGAGGAAUAUUGGUCAAGAGGCGCUAGCCUGAACCAGCCAAGUAGCGUGAAGGAUGAAGGCUUAUGGGUCGUAAACUUCUUUUGUAUAAGAAUAGGUAUUAUAUGAAUAAGGAUCGGCUAACUCCGUGCCAGCCGCCGCGGUAAUUC